rnacentral:lncRNA from 1 species
GGGGAGGGGCCCUGGGGAGGGUGGGGUCUGCCUUGUUUGUAGCUGAAUUCCUAUCUGCUAACAUCAUGAGGGCCACAGAGUAGAUGCUCAAUAAAUGUAUUCGGUGAAAGAAUGCAUGAUGGACAAGGGCUCUAGGACAUCCCUCGCUUGGUCCCCUCAUUUUUCAGAUGAGGAAACUGAGGCCAUAAGGAGUCAGAGACCUGCCAGCCGUACUGCCCUGCCGGAGAGUCAGAACUCAGUCGGCAGGGGACGCCAGGGCAGGGGAGGGCUGGCGCGUGGCGACAACCCCUCAGGGGUGGUGGGCCUGGGGCUCCUGAGUCCCUCUGGGCAUCUCAGAUCUUCAGAGCCCCACGUAGACAAUGUGAGGCGAGCGGCCGCAGCAGCUGUGCAGGCGGCAGGUACAUGUGAGAAGUUUGUGAGAGGAGCUGAGAGAAAGGGAGAGGAAGGCGGGCGGCUGCGAACACCUGGCCGGGCAGCCCCGCCAGCUGCCUGCCCGCGAUGGCAUCUCGAGUUCGGGCAGUCCUAUCGGGCUAUCUCCCAUUCCACCCCUCCUCCCUGUCCUCCCCUUCUCUCCGAAGUGGAGCUUGGCCAGGGAUGGAGGUGGGAACUGGUAGCCACUGGCUUCUGGAAGCGGCCUCUGCCGGAAGCAAGCCUGGAGCGGGGCCAGCCUCUGAGCCUCUGGAAUAGAGGCCACCUCGCCUUCUGGGAGAGAAGUAAAGCCUGCUCUUCCUCCCAGUCUCAGCCUCUGGGCUUGGGGGAUGGGGUGGGGUGGAGAUUCUGGUGCCAGCCCAAGACCUUCAUUAAAAGCAGGUUCAGAAGUUAGAAAAACCUGGGCUCUAAUGCCCACCCUACCAUGCUUCAAUGUGUGGCUUGGGGGAAAAAAAUCAGUCUCGCUGUGCCUCAGUUUUCUCAUCUGGGAAAUGGAGAUAAUAAUAUAAUGUCAAAGUCUUGAUGUGGAGAUUCAGUUAUAAUUCUUUUCUAAAGCACAUAACCCAGAGCCUGGCAGUCCAUAACUGGUUUUUCUUGUUAUUACCAUCAUCCUACUGCCAAAAUCGUAGGGG